UGCGGAGGAAAUCCUCAAUAGUUAACUGCCGCCGGUUUUCUAAAACUUCGGCAGUUAACUGCCGAGGGACAU
rnacentral:pre_miRNA from 1 species